rnacentral:rRNA from 1 species
AGCCCUGAACACACCAAUCUUGUCUGAUCUUACAAUUGAGCAGCGUUGGGCCUGAUUGGUACUAGGAUGGGAGACCAACUGGGAAUACAGUGAUUUAGGCUUA